rnacentral:rRNA from 1 species
GAACUGAAGAGUUUGAUCAUGGCUCAGAUUGAACGCUGGCGGCAGGCCUAACACAUGCAAGUCGAGCGGCAGCGGGUCCUUCGGGAUGCCGGCGAGCGGCGGACGGGUGAGUAAUGCCUAGGAAUCUGCCUGGUAGUGGGGGAUAACGCGGGGAAACUCGCGCUAAUACCGCAUACGUCCUACGGGAGAAAGUGGGGGACCUUCGGGCCUCACGCUAUCAGAUGAGCCUAGGUCGGAUUAGCUAGUUGGUAGGGUAAAGGCCUACCAAGGCGACGAUCCGUAACUGGUCUGAGAGGAUGAUCAGUCACACUGGAACUGAGACACGGUCCAGACUCCUACGGGAGGCAGCAGUGGGGAAUAUUGGACAAUGGGCGAAAGCCUGAUCCAGCCAUGCCGCGUGUGUGAAGAAGGUCUUCGGAUUGUAAAGCACUUUAAGUUGGGAGGAAGGGCAGUAAGUUAAUACCUUGCUGUUUUGACGUUACCGACAGAAUAAGCACCGGCUAACUCUGUGCCAGCAGCCGCGGUAAUACAGAGGGUGCAAGCGUUAAUCGGAAUUACUGGGCGUAAAGCGCGCGUAGGUGGUUCAGCAAGUUGGAUGUGAAAUCCCCGGGCUCAACCUGGGAACUGCAUCCAAAACUACUGGGCUAGAGUACGGUAGAGGGUGGUGGAAUUUCCUGUGUAGCGGUGAAAUGCGUAGAUAUAGGAAGGAACACCAGUGGCGAAGGCGACCACCUGGACUGAUACUGACACUGAGGUGCGAAAGCGUGGGGAGCAAACAGGAUUAGAU